GAUGAACGCUAGCUACAGGCUUAACACAUGCAAGUCGAGGGGAAACGGCAUCGAAAGCUUGCUUUUGAUGGGCGUCGACCGGCGCACGGGUGAGUAACGCGUAUCCAACCUGCCCAUCACUUGGGAAUAACCUUGCGAAAGUAAGACUAAUGCCCAAUGACAUCCCACGAAGGCAUCCGAAUGGGAUUAAAGAUUUAUCGGUGAUGGAUGGGGAUGCGUCUGAUUAGCUUGUUGGCGGGGUGACGGCCCACCAAGGCAACGAUCAGUAGGGGUUCUGAGAGGAAGGUCCCCCACAUUGGAACCGAGACACGGACCAAACUCCUACGGGAGGCAGCAGUGAGGAAUAUUGGGCAAUGGGCGAGAGCCUGAACCAGCCAAGUAGCGUGCAGGAGGACGGCCCUAGGGGUUGUAAACUGCUUUUAUAAGGGAAUAAAGUGGGUCACGUGUGACUUUUUGCAUGUACCUUAUGAAUAAGGACCGGCUAAUUCCGUG
rnacentral:rRNA from 1 species